rnacentral:lncRNA from 1 species
UCUCUCUCUCUCUAGUCUCUCUCUCUAGUCUCUCUCUCUAGUCUCUCUCUCUAGUCUCUCUCUCUCUAGUCUCUCUCUCUAGUCUCUCUCUCUAGUCUCUCUCUCUCUCUCUAGUCUCUCUCUCUAGUCUCUCUCUCUCUAGUCUCUCUCUCUAGUCUCUCUCUCUCUAGUCUCUCUCUCUCUAGUCUCUCUCUCUCUAGUCUCUCUCUCUCUAGUCUCUCUCUCUCUCUAGUCUCUCUCUCUAGUCUCUCUCUCUCUCAUAUCUCUCUCUCUCUAGUCUCUCUCUCUAGUCUCUCUCUCUCUAGUCUCUCUCUCUAGUCUCUCUCUCUAGUCUCUCUCUCUCUAGUCUCUCUCUCUCUCUAGUCUCUCUCUCUAGUCUCUCUCUCUAGUCUCUCUCUCUAGUCUCUCUCUCUAGUCUCUCUCUCUCUAUCUCUCUCUCUCUAGUCUCUCUCUCUAGUCUCUCUCUAGUCUCUCUCUCUCUAGUCUCUCUC